rnacentral:lncRNA from 13 species
UAAAUUUCUGAAGUACUGAGAUCAAAUAUUAGCAGAUUCACUCCGAAAGUCAUGUUUUCUCUCUAGAUUUCAACCAGUCAGCUAUUGAAGAGAUGGCAGGCAAUGAAUCUGGCUCCUUCUAUGGGAAGAAAACAGAAACACGUGCUGCUUGUCCGACUGAGGCAGGGGAAACAAGCUCCCUCUCCUGCACAAGACCUGUAGGGCUUGGCAUCUGUGAGCACUCCACCCAGCAGCUGCAAUGAUGCUGUCCCAUAGAGGACACUCAGUAAUGCAGUGUCUGCAUCGAUGACUACAGAACCCAGAAACCUGCUUGCCUGUCCCCUGUAUUGGUGAGUUCCAUUCCUAUGGGUGGUUUAGGGCAUUAAAGAACUUUGACUAAUUCCUCUAGUU